UCCCUGGUAGUAUAUCGGUUCAGUACACGCGCCUGUCAUGCGAUUACAUGCCCGGCUAUUCGCGCGAGAGCGGGGUUCGACUCCCCGCCAGGGAG